rnacentral:rRNA from 1 species
GACGAACGCUGGCGGCGUGCUUAACACAUGCAAGUCGAACGAAGAGCGACGGAAGCUUGCUUCUAUCAAUCUUAGUGGCGCACGGGUGAGUAACGCGUAAUCAACCUGCCCUUCAGAGGGGGACAACAGUUGGAAACGACUGCUAAUACCGCAUACGAUCUAACCUCGGCAUCGAGGAUAGAUGAAAGGUGGCCUCUACAUGUAAGCUAUCACUGAAGGAGGGGAUUGCGUCUGAUUAGCUAGUUGGAGGGGUAACGGCCCACCAAGGCGAUGAUCAGUAGCCGGUCGGAGAGGAUGAACGGCCACAUUGGGACUGAGACACGGCCCAGACUCCUACGGGAGGCAGCAGUGGGGAACCUUCCGCAAUGGACGAAAGGCUGACGGAGCAACGCCGCGUGAGUGAUGACGGCCUUCGGGUUGUAAAGCUCUGUUAAUCGGGACGAAAGGCCUUCUUGCGAAUAGUGAGAAGGAUUGACGGUACCGGAAGAGAAAGCCACGGCUAACUACGUG